CCUGAUGGAGGGGGAUAACUACUGGAAACGGUAGCUAAUACCGCAUAACGUCGCAAGACCAAAGAGGGGGACCUUCGGGCCUCUUGCCAUCGGAUGUGCCCAGAUGGGAUUAGCUUGUUGGUGGGGUAACGGCUCACCAAGGCGACGAUCCCUAGCUGGUCUGAGAGGAUGACCAGCCACACUGGAACUGAGACACGGUCCAGACUCCUACGGGAGGCAGCAGUGGGGAAUAUUGCACAAUGGGCGCAAGCCUG
rnacentral:rRNA from 1 species